AUUGAACGCUGGCGGCAUGCCUUACACAUGUAAGUCGAACAGUAACAGGUCUUCGGAUGCUGACGAGUGGCGAACGGGUGAGUAAUGCAUCGGAACGUGCCCAGUUGUGGGGGAUAACUGCUCGAAAGAGCAGCUAAUACCGCAUACGACCUGAGGGAGAAAGCGGGGGAUCGCAAGACCUCGCGCAAUUGGAGCGGCCGAUGUCAGAUUAGGUAGUUGGUGGGGUAAAGGCCUACCAAGCCGACGAUCUGUAGUUGGUCUGAGAGGACGACCAGCCACACUGGGACUGAGACACGGCCCAGACUCCUACGGGAGGCAGCAGUGGGGAAUUUUGGACAAUGGGCGCAAGCCUGAUCCAGCAAUGCCGCGUGCAGGAAGAAGGCCUUCGGGUUGUAAACUGCUUUUGUCAGGGAAGAAAUCCUCUGGGUUAAUACCCCGGGGGGAUGACGGUACCUGAAGAAUAAGCACCGGCUAACUACGUGCCAGCCGCCGCGGUAAGAC
rnacentral:rRNA from 1 species